UACGAAGGGGGCUAGCGUUGUUCGGAUUUACUGGGCGUAAAGCGCACGUAGGCGGAUCGUUAAGUCAGGGGUGAAAUCCUGGAGCUCAACUCCAGAACUGCCUUUGAUACUGGCGAUCUUGAGUCCGGAAGAGGUGAGUGGAACUCCUAGUGUAGAGGUGGAAUUCGUAGAUAUUAGGAAGAACACCAGUGGCGAAGGCGGCUCACUGGUCCGGUACUGACGCUGAGGUGCGAAAGCGUGGGGAGCAAACAGGGAGU
rnacentral:rRNA from 1 species